GGAAUUUUGGGCAAUGGGCGCAAGCCUGACCCAGCAACGCCGCGUGGGUGAUGAAGGCCCUCGGGUCGUAAAGCCCUUUUCCCAGGGACGAUGGUGACGGUACCUGGGGAAUCAGCCCCGGCUAACUACGUGCCAGCAGCCGCGGUAAUACGUAGGGGGCAAGCGUUGUCCGGAUUUAUUGGGCGUAAAGCGCUCGCAGGUGGUGCGUCGCGUCGUGCGUGAAAGCCCCCGGCUCAACUGGGGAGUGUCGUGCGAUACGGGCGGACUGGAGGCCAGUAGGGGGAUGCGGAAUUCCGGGUGUAGUGGUGGAAUGCGUAGAGAUCCGGAGGAACACCAGCGGCGAAGGCGGCAUCCUGGACUGGUCCUGACACUCAGGAGCGAAAGCGUGGGGAGCGAUCCGGA
rnacentral:misc_RNA from 1 species